rnacentral:rRNA from 1 species
GCAGCCAUGCCGCGUGUGUGAAGAAGGCCUUCGGGUUGUAAAGCACUUUCAGUAAGGAGGAAAGGUUGGAUGUUAAUAGCAUUCAGCUGUGACGUUACUUACAGAAGAAGCACCGGCUAACUCCGUGCCAGCAGCCGCGGUAAUACGGAGGGUGCGAGCGUUAAUCGGAAUUACUGGGCGUAAAGCGUACGCAGGCGGUUUGUUAAGCGAGAUGUGAAAGCCCCGGGCUCAACCUGGGAACUGCAUUUCGAACUGGCAAACUAGAGUGUGAUAGAGGGUGGUAGAAUUUCAGGUGUAGCGGUGAAAUGCGUAGAGAUCUGAAGGAAUACCGAUGGCGAAGGCAGCCACCUGGGUCAACACUGACGCUCAUGUACGAAAGCGUGGGGAGCAAACAGGAUUAGAUACCCUGGUAGUCCACGCCGUAAACGAUGUCUACUAGAAGCUCGGUUCCUCGGAACUGUUUUUCAAAGCUAACGCAUUAAGUAGACCGCCUGGGGAGUACGGCCGCAAGGUUAAAACUCAAAUGAAUUGACGGGGGCCCGCACAAGCGGUG